UAGUCCACGCAGUAAACGAUGAGUGCUAGAUGUUAGGGUCUUAGGAUCUUAGUGUCGCAGCUAACGCGUUAAGCACUCCGCCUGGGGAGUACGGUCGCAAGACUAAAACUCAAAGGAAUUGACGGGGACCCGCACAAGCGGUGGAACAUGUGGUUUAAUUCGAUGCUACGCGAAAAACCUUACCAGGUCUUGACAUGGUAGUCGUAUGACUAAGAAACUAGUCAGUCAGUUCGGCUGGACUAUCACAGGUGUUGCAUGGCUGUCGUCAGCUCGUGUCGUGAGAUGUUGGGUUAAGUCCCGCAACGAGCGCAACCCUUGUCCUUAGUUGCCAUCAGGUAAAGCUGGGAACUUUAAGGAUACUGCCGGUGAUAAGCCGGAGGAAGGUGGGGACGAGGUCAAGUCAGCAUGGCCCUUAUGACCUGGGCUACACACGUGUUACAAUGGCGGUUACAGAAAGGAGCAAUAGGGCAACCUGGAGCAAAUCUCGAAAAGCCGCCUCAGUUCGGAUUGUA
rnacentral:rRNA from 1 species